rnacentral:rRNA from 1 species
GUCGAACGAGAAAGUGGAGCAAUCCAUGAGUAAAGUGGCGUACGGGUGAGUAACACGUGGAUCAUCUACCUCUUUGUGGGGAAUAACCAAGGGAAACCGUGGCUAAUACCGCAUAAGCUCGAGAGAGGAAAGUCGAAAGACGCAGAGAGAGGAGUCCGCGGCUGAUUAGCUAGUUGGUGGGGUAAAGGCCACCAAGGCGAAGAUCGGUAGCCGGCCUGAGAGGGCACACGGCCACACUGGCACUGAAACACGGGCCAGACUCCUACGGGAGGCAGCAGUGGGGAAUCUUGCACAAUGGGGGAAACCCUGAUGCAGCGACGCCGCGUGAGCGAUGAAGCCCUUCGGGGUGUAAAGCUCUUUCGUCAGGGAAGAUAAUGACGGUACCUGGAGAAGCAGCUGCGGCUAACUACGUGCCAGCAGCCGCGGUAAUACGUAGGCAGCAAGCGUUGUUCGGAGUUACUGGGCGUAAAGGGUGUGUAGGCGGUUGUUUAAGUUUGGUGUGAAAUCUCCCGGCUCAACUGGGAGGGUGCGCCGAAUACUGAAUGA